GAUGAACGCUAGCGGGAGGCCUAAUACAUGCAAGUCGAACGGUAACAGGGUAGCAAUAUCGCUGACGAGUGGCGUACGGGUGCGUAACACGUACACAACCUGCCCAAUACUGGAGCAUAGCCUCGGGAAACUGAGGGUAAUUCUCCAUAAUAUAUUAGAAUGGCAUCAUUUUAAUAUUAAAGUAACAACGGUAUUGGAUGGGUGUGCGUCUGAUUAGCUAGUUGGUGUGGUAACGGCUCACCAAGGCAACGAUCAGUAGCUGGUCUGAGAGGAUGAUCAGCCACACGGGCACUGAGACACGGGCCCGACUCCUACGGGAGGCAGCAGUAGGGAAUAUUGGACAAUGGAGGAAACUCUGAUCCAGCCAUCCCGCGUGAAGGAUUAAGGUCCUAUGGAUUGUAAACUUCUUUUCUUUGGGAUAAAAUCUCCGAUUCCUCGGAGCUUGAAGGUACCAGGGGAAUAAGCACCGGCUAACUCCGUGCCAGCAGCCGACGG
rnacentral:rRNA from 1 species